rfam:Ciona savignyi cont_35798, whole genome shotgun sequence.
GUCGUCGUGGCCGAGUGGUUAAGGCGACAGACUAGAAAUCUGUUGGGCUCUGCCCGCACAGGUUCGAAUCCUGUUGGCGACG